rnacentral:tRNA from 1 species
GAGAGUUGUCCGUGUGGUUGAAUGAGCAAGCCUGGUAAGCGUGUUAACGCCAAAAGCGUUACGAGGGUUCGAAUCCCUCACUCUCUG